rnacentral:rRNA from 1 species
GUGGUGUCUUUAAUGGCGGGCAGAUAUUUUUCCUGCCACCGAAUACAUUAGCAUGGGAUAAUGGAAUAGGACCCUGACCUCCUAUUUUCAGUUGGUUUUGUUUACAGCGAGGUUAUAUCAGGGUAAUGAUUAAUAGGGAUAGUUGGGGGCAUUAAUAUUUAAUUGUCAGAGGUGAAAUUCUUGGAUUUAUGAAAGAUUAACUUCUGCGAAAGCGUUUGCCAAGGAUGUUUUCAUUAAUCAAGAACGAAAGUUAGGGGAUCGAAGACGAUCAGAUACCGUCGUAGUCUUAACCAUAAACGAUGCCGACCAGCGAUUAGGAGACGUUGAAUACAAAACACCGCCGUUAAUCCUUUCGGGGGUUAAUGGUUGGUGAAUGACUCCCUAGCAGCUUGUGAGAA